GGGAGAAAGAUCUUGCUGUAGACUCACCUCUCCCAUGGUACUUGCCUUUGGAUACAUCUCACUUUUCACUGAGUAGCUUCCGCCUAACAUCAGUUGGACGUUUUGUGACUAGAAAUAUGGUAAUGAUUGUUAAACUAUUAACUUAUUCUUGUGUUGUUAUUUCUUAAGAAACCAAUUUCUCCAAAAAAAUCGGUUGAAAUUAAGAAACAUUUUCAUUGUUUAUUCUGCUAGUUGCAAACGAUUGUUCACAUUUCACUAAAUGAUUUUUCCUCCUGUAGGUGAAAGCCCUAGAAUUUGUGGGACUAGCCCCAAAGGGAAGUCAAAGGGUUCAAGAUUUUCUGGAGAAGGCAGCAGAAGGAUUGGCUGCAGGCGGGAGGUCAGUUUCCAUUUUGAUAUAUACCAUUAAUCCAUUAUUCUUCUUACAUCUCAUAGUAACCUCUCAUCAGAUGAAAGUCAUGUGCUGGUUAUCCCAAAAGGAUAGCCUAGUUGGUUGACCUCUUGUUCAAGUACAAGGGGUUCAUUUAAAUUGAUGGUGGGGAGGGGUGGGGUAGGGUGAAACCAGAAUAAUGUUCUCUCCUUACAUUAGCAGCUCAGGGCCACAUGUAAAUGAGACAAAGGUACCAUUAGGUGGGAUAUGUCAACCUUAAAUUCAUCUAGUCUAAGCCAUAAUUGUAACAGCCGGUGAUAGACUACCUGUCUGCAGGCAUAGAUUACUAUGAUUAGGAUACAUGGAUCGUCUUGUAGGAACUGAAUCAUGGCCUUAAUUAUUCAUUUCAUGGCCCGAAACUGAACAUGUGUUGGAUGCUGACACUAUGAUAUAACUUUCUGCUUUCAGGAAAGAGAUUUUCACGCCAAUGUACUUCUUUUUGGCCAGCAAGCCACAACAUGGCUGAUCUGUAAAAUGAGUAGCUUCAGUUGCGAAUCUUGGGCGGAGGACUUAGUUUCGAGCAAUUUCUAUUAUCUAUUUUCUUAAUUUAAUAUGUUUAUGUUUUAUCACCCCUGGAGUCAUUUUGUGCCAUUU
rnacentral:lncRNA from 1 species